CUAGCGCAUGCGCUUUAGCGAGGCAGUCUCGGGCGCCCAGCUGUCAGAGCUGUUAGCCUGCUUAAACAGAGGAAAAUGGUACAGGCAGAGCUGGUCUGGUAUCAGGAAAAAGGCUGCCUACGAUAAUCCACUGCAGGACCCUAAAAGUCUCGACCUUAGGGCCCCCUCGGACCGUCUCCAAGGUCGGGUCCCGCUGGAGAAGGAGGCAUUUCGAGAGUGUUGGAAACACCUUAUUUGUAGAAUCUACGAAGGGACAUUUUGGAACCCAUUGAGACCUAUAGUGAAACACUGAUUGUUUCACAAUGAAAACUGAAAACGUUAUCUAGGAAAAUGCUUUGCGUGUGUAGAUUCUACUCAGACAGGUUUGAAAUACUCUAAGACAUUUUGGAGCUCUUGGGGCCUAUAAUGAAGAAACGUAUAUCCUGCGAUGAAAACUUGAAACAAGCUACCUGUGAAAAUGCUUUGCAAUGUGUAGAUUCAUCUGACAGUUAAACCUUUGUUUUGAUUCAACAGGUUAGAAACACUGUUUUCAUAUAAUCUACGAAGGGACACUUCGGUGCCCAUUGAGGAUUAUAGUACAAAACCAAAUAUUAUGCAAUUAAAACUACAAACAAGCUAUUGGGGAAAAUGCUUUGCAAUGUGAAGAUUUGUCUCACAGAGGGGUUUGGGAACAUACUUUUUAUAUAACUUAUGAAUGGACAUUUCAGAGCCCAUUGAAGCCUAUACUGAAAAUCCAAAUAUCCUGCGAUAAAAACUAGGAGUAAGCUAUCUGUGAAAAUGCUUUGCGAGGUUUGGAUUAAUCUCACAGAUUUAAGCUGUUGCUUUGAUUUAGCAGCAGGUUGGAAACCCUCUUUUUCUACAAUCUACUAGGGUACUAUUCGGACCAAAUUGAGGCCUAUACUGAAAAACUGAUUAUCCCGUGAUAAAAACUAGAAAAAAGCUGUCAGUAAAAAUGCUGUGCAAUAUGUGGAUUCAUGUCACAAAUUUAAACCUCUGCAUUUAUUCAGCAAGUUUGGAAUACCUUUUUGUAGAAUAUACAAAGGGAUGUUUCACACCUAUAAAAGCCUAUAGUAAAAAAGUUGGAUACACUCUUGUUGUAGAAUCUACAAAGAGACAUUUUGAAGUUCAUUGAGGUCUAUAGUGAAAAACCAAAUAUCCAGUGAUAGAAACUAUAAAGAAGCUAUCUCUGAAAAUACUUUAUGAUGUGUGAUUUCAUUUCACAAGUUGAACUUUUCUUUUGAUUCAACAGGUUGGAAACACUCUUUUGUAAAAUCUACAAAGAAACAUUUUGGAGUCCAUUGAGG
rnacentral:lncRNA from 1 species